UACGGGGGGUGCGAGCGUUGUCCGGAAUCAUUGGGCGUAAAGCGCGCGCAGGCGGUCCUUUAAGUCUGAUGUGAAAGCCCACGGCUCAACCGUGGAGGGUCAUUGGAAACUGGGGGACUUGAGUGCAGAAGAGGAAAGCGGAAUUCCACGUGUAGCGGUGAAAUGCGUAGAGAUGUGGAGGAACACCAGUGGCGAAGGCGGUUGCCUGGAGCUUUGCUGACGCUGAGGCGCGAAAGCGUGGGGAGCGAUCCGG
rnacentral:rRNA from 1 species